GGUCUGUAUUACAGAGGUGGGUUACCAAUAGAAUGUCUGUAUUAUAGAGGUGGGUUACCAAUAGAAGGUCUGUAUUGUAGAGGUGGGUUAAUACCAAUAGAAGAUCUGUAUUGUAGAGGUGGGUUAAUACCAAUAGAAGGUCUGUAUUAUAGAGGUGGGUUACCAAUAGAAGGUCUGUAUUGUAGAGGUGGGUUAAUACCAAUAGAAGGUCUGUAUUGUAGAGGUGGGUUACCAAUAGAAGGUCUCUAUUAUAGAGGUGGGUUACCAAUAGAAGGUCUGUAUUAUAGAGGUGGGUUACCAAUAGAAGGUCUGUAUUAUAGAGGUGGGUUAAUACCAAUAGAAGGUCUGUAUUGUAGAGGUGGGUUAAUACCAAUAGAAGGUCUGUAUUGUAGAGGUGGGUUAAUACCAAUAGAAGGUCUGUAUUGUAGAGGUGGGUUACCAAUAGAAGGUCUGUAUUGUAGAGGUGGGUUAAUAACAAUAGAAUGUCUGUAUUAUAGAGGUGGGUUAAUACCAAUAGAAGGUCUGUAUUGUAGAGGUGGGUUACCAAUAGAAGGUCUGUAUUGUAGAGGUGGGUUAAUAACAAUAGAAGGUCUGUAUUGUAGAGGUGGGUUAAUAACAAUAGAAGGUCUGUAUUAUAGAGGUGGGUUACCAAUAGAAGGUCUGUAUUAUAGAGGUGGGUUACCAAUAGAUGUUCUGUAUUGUAGAGGUGGGUUACCAAUAGAAGGUCUGUAUUAUAGAGGUGGGUUACCAAUAGAAGGUCUGUAUUGUAGAGGUGGGUUACCAAUAGAAGGUCUGUAUUAUAGAGGUGGGUUACCAAUAGAAGGUCUGUAUUAUAGAGGUGGGUUACCAAUAGAAGGUCUGUAUUAUAGAGGUGGGUUACCAAUAGAAGGUCUGUAUUGUAGAGGUGGGUUACCAAUAGAAGGUCUGUAUUGUAGAGGUGGGUUACCAAUAGAAGGUCUGUAUUGUAGAGGUGGGUUACCAAUAGAAGGUCUAUAUUAUAGAGGUGGGUUACCAAUAGAAGGUCUGUAUUGUAGAGGUGGGUUACCAAUAGAAGGUCUGUAUUGUAGAGGUGGGUUACCAAUAGAAGGUCUGUAUUAUAGAGGUGGGUUACCAAUAGAAGGUCUGUAUUGUAGAGGUGGGUUAAUGCCAAUAGAAGAUCUGUAUUGUAGAGGUGGGUUACCAAUAGAAGGUCUGUAUUAUAGAGGUGGGUUACCAAUAGAAGGUCUGUAUUGUAGAGGUGGGUUACCAAUAGAAGGUCUGUAUUAUAGAGGUGGGUUACCAAUAGAAGGUCUGUAUUAUAGAGGUGGGUUACCAAUAGAAGGUCUCUCACAUGCCUCUGUCACUGUCAUUACAUGGCCCCCUGUGUUUGUGUGUCUGUGUGUGUUGUUCCUCUCUGUUUACCUAUUACCAUGGCUGCCAUUUUUGUGUGUGUGUGUGUGUGUGUGUGUGUGUGUGUGUGUGUGUGUGUGUGUGUGUGUGUGUGUGUGUGUGUGUGUGUGUGUGUGUUUUAAGGAGGCUUUGACACAAGCUGACUGGAGAUUAUGCCAAGAUUAUGGUGCUGUUGCGGAGAGAUGUAGAGAGGGAGAGAGAUGUAGAUGGGGAGAGAUGUAG
ensembl:lncRNA